UCUCUGGCAGUCCAGUAGUUAGAACUCUGCACUCCCAAUGCAGGCAACACAGGUUUGAUCCCUGAUCAGGGAA
rnacentral:tRNA from 1 species